GCAGCGGGAAGAUAGCUUGCUAUCUUUGCCGGCGAGCGGCGGACGGGUGAGUAAUGCCUAGGGAUCUGCCCAGUCGAGGGGGAUAACAGUUGGAAACGACUGCUAAUACCGCAUACGCCCUACGGGGGAAAGGAGGGGACCUUCGGGCCUUCCGCGAUUGGAUGAACCUAGGUGGGAUUAGCUAGUUGGUGAGGUAAUGGCUCACCAAGGCGACGAUCCCUAGCUGUUCUGAGAGGAUGAUCAGCCACACUGGGACUGAGACACGGCCCAGACUCCUACGGGAGGCAGCAGUGGGGAAUAUUGCACAAUGGGGGAAACCCUGAUGCAGCCAUGCCGCGUGUGUGAAGAAGGCCUUCGGGUUGUAAAGCACUUUCAGUAGGGAGGAAAGGUAAUAACUUAAUACGUUAUUACUGUGACGUUACCUACAGAAGAAGGACCGGCUAACUCCGUGCCAGCAGCCGCGGUAAUACGGAGGGUCCGAGCGUUAAUCGGAAUUACUGGGCGUAAAGCGUGCGCAGGCGGUUUGUUAAGCGAGAUGUGAAAGCCCCGGGCUCAACCUGGGAAUUGCAUUUCGAACUGGCGAACUAGAGUCUUGUAGAGGGGGGUAGAAUUCCAGGUGUAGCGGUGAAAUGCGUAGAGAUCUGGAGGAAUACCGGUGGCGAAGGCGGCCCCCUGGACAAAGACUGACGCUCAGGCACG
rnacentral:rRNA from 1 species